rnacentral:rRNA from 1 species
CAAACGGUGGAGCAUGUGGUUUAAUUCGAUGAUACGCGAGGAACCUUACCAAGACUUAAAUGUACUACGAAUAAAUUGGAAACAAUUUAGUCUAGCGACGGAGUACAAGGUGCUGCAUGGUUGUCGUCAGCUCGUGCUGUGAGGUGUAAGGUUAAGUCCUUAAACGAGCGCAACCCUUAUUAUUAGUUGCCGUUGAGUAGUGUCGGGGACUCUAAUUAGACUGCCGGCGCAAGCCGAGAGGAAGGUGGGGACGACGUCAAAUCAUCACGGCCCUUACGUCUUGGGCUACACACGUGCUACAAUGAUAGGUACAAAAGGGAGCAACUGGGUGACCAGGAGCAAAUCUAUAAAGCCUAUCUCAGUUCGGAUUGGAGUCUGAAACUCGACUCUAUGAAGCUGGAAUCGUUAGUAAUCACGUAUCAGCCAUGGCGUGGUGAAUAUGUUCCCGGGCCUUGUACACACC